UCUGCGAGAGGCCCGGGCCUCCCACCAGGAGCUGAGCCAGAACCAGGAAUGUCUUCCACACCUACCGGGGCUCCGCCAUGGCUCUAGUCUCGGUGAAGCAGUAAAAGACAUGGAUUUCCCAGGACCCAGGCCAGAGGCCCCCCCAAGGCGUCAGAGGGCUCCACGUGGCUCAGUGGGACCUCAAGACUUGUUCUGCACAGUGUCUCAUCAGGGCAGAAGUGAUGCCUGUCACUUCCUCUGCAUCAUCUUUAGUGGCUGGUGCAAAACCACCAGGGUUUUCCUCUCCCCUGGUACAACAGCUGCUCUAUCCCCCAGAUUCUGUGGGUGGCCAUGAUGGAUAGAGUCAAACCCACUCAACCUACAGUGGACAGCGCCUGUGGCCUGCUGUCACCAGGAGCCCGCCCAGGGGGCCCCACCCCCGCGUCCACCUCCCAGCCCUGGACGGCUCCUUGAAGGCUCCCUGUGAGAUGGCCGACACCCCACACACACCCGGGGCACACAGCGAAGCUUUGCCGCUUCCUGGCUGUGCCUUCCUAGGCAGAGAGGAUACCUUCCACGCAUCCUUAAAACCCAGCCACGAGCCUUGUAGAGCAGGAAGGGUGAUCCGCAGCGCCCAGCCUGGCGCCCACUCCAGCAAUACCUGUUGUCAUCAGACCCAGGACUUAAUGGGACUCUGUAGCUCGCUCUACUGCAGAACAGAGCCACUCUGCCUGACAGCAUCGUCCGCUAGGAGUGACAGUAUCGGGCCGCCAGCUGCGCUUUGCAGCUCUUGUAUCCUGACGAAGGACCACCAGCCUUGGGCUUCUCCUGCGGGGAGCAGGCGUGUCCUCAAGUCACCAGGCAUUUGGCAGCUGCUCUGCCUCGUAGGAGAUGUGCUGUUGCUCCAUGGGAGGGGCACAGAUCUGGGAGCCUGCAGACCUGGGUUCCAAUCAUGCCUCUACUUCUUAUUCUCUGUGGAUCCUUCGUGGGCCCCUUGGAGCCUCAUCCUCCUCAUCUGUAAAAUGGGACACACAGCCUCUCUUGCAGGGUGGCUGUGAGGACAAAGGGAGAUAAGCUGAGCAUUCCCCUUGGUCUUUGGCAUCAAGUAGAUGCUCAAUAAAUGGUGCCGGCUUCCUCCCUGCGCAGGGGAUAAUGCCAAAGGUGUCCCCGUGCUGAUCUCCAGACCUCUGAACGUGUCAUCCUACAGAGCCAAA